rnacentral:rRNA from 1 species
GACGAACGCUGGCGGCGUGCUUAACACAUGCAAGUCGAGCGAGGCCCCUCCUUCGGGCGGGUGUCCUAGCGGCGAACGGGUGGGUAGCACGUGGGCAACCUGCCCUCAGCUCUGGGAUAACUCCGGGAAACCGGGGCUAAUACCGGAUACGACCUCCACGGGCAUCUGCGGAGGUGGAAAGUUUUUCGGCUGAGGAUGGGCCCGCGGCCUAUCAGCUAGUUGGUGGGGUAGUGGCCCACCAAGGCGACGACGGGUAGCCGGCCUGAGAGGGCGACCGGCCAGACGGGGACGGAGACACGCCAGAGACCCCGCGGGGGGGGGGGGGGGGGAAAUGGGGCGCAGGGGGAGAGGGCCGAACGCAGCGCCGCCGGGGGAGGGAGGAAGGGUUGCGGGUUGAAAACCUUUUACAGCGGGCAAGAAGGGAAAGGGAGGGGCGCUGAAGAAAAAGCCCCGCCAAACUAGGUC